rnacentral:rRNA from 1 species
CUUAGCAGAGAUGCUUUGGUGCCUUCGGGAACUCUGAGACAGGUGCUGCAUGGCUGUCGUCAGCUCGUGUUGUGAAAUGUUGGGUUAAGUCCCGNAACGAGCGCAACCCUUAUCCUUUGUUGCCAGCGGUUCGGCCGGGAACUCAAAGGAGACUGCCGGUGAUAAACCGGAGGAAGGUGGGGAUGACGUCAAGUCAUCAUGGCCCUUACGGCCAGGGCUACACACGUGCUACAAUGGCGCAUACAAAGAGAAGCGACCUCGCGAGAGCAAGCGGACCUCAUAAAGUGCGUCGUAGUCCGGAUUGGAGUCUGCAACUCGACUCCAUGAAGUCGGAAUCGCUAGUAAUCGUAGAUCAGAAUGCUACGGUGAAUACGUUCCCGGGCCUUGUACGCACCGCCCGUCACACCAUGGGAGUGGGUUGCAAAAGAAGUAGGUAGCUUAACCUUCGGGAGGGCGCUUACCACUUUGUGAUUCAUGACUGGGGUGAAGUCGUAACAAGGUAGGCGUAGUGCU